rnacentral:rRNA from 1 species
UACGGAGGAUGCGAGCGUUAUCCGGAUUUAUUGGGUUUAAAGGGUGCGUAGGCGGAUCGUUAAGUCAGUGGUCAAAUUGAGGGGCUCAACCCCUUCCCGCCAUUGAAACUGGCGAUCUUGAGUGGAAGAGAAGUAAGCGGAAUGCGUGGUGUAGCGGUGAAAUGCAUAGAUAUCACGCAGAACCCCGAUUGCGAAGGCAGCAUGCCGGCUUCCGACUGACGCUGAAGCACGAAAGCGUGGGGAUCGAACAGG